rnacentral:tRNA from 1 species
GUUUAUAUAGUUUAAGAAAAACGUUAAUUUGUGGAAUUAUUAUUAUAUAAUUAUUAUAAACA